GCUCACUUUGGCAGCACAUAUACUAAAAAUUAAAACAAUUCAGAAAAGAUUAGCCUGGCUCCUGCACAAGGAUCACACACAAACUCAUGCACAAAAAUCAAUCCAU